rnacentral:rRNA from 1 species
UGGGGAAUAUUGCACAAUGGGCGCAAGCCUGAUGCAGCCAUGCCGCGUGUGUGAAGAAGGCCUUCGGGUUGUAAAGCACUUUCAGCGAGGAGGAAGGGUAGUGUGUUAAUAGCACAUUGCAUUGACGUUACUCGCAGAAGAAGCACCGGCUAACUCCGUGCCAGCAGCCGCGGUAAUACGGAGGGUGCAAGCGUUAAUCGGAAUUACUGGGCAUAAAGCGCACGCAGGCGGUUUGUUAAGUCAGAUGUGAAAUCCCCGCGCUUAACGUGGGAACUGCAUUUGAAACUGGCAAGCUAGAGUCUUGUAGAGGGGGGUAGAAUUCCAGGUGUAGCGGUGAAAUGCGUAGAGAUCUGGAGGAAUACCGGUGGCGAAGGCGGCCCCCUGGACAAAGACUGACGCUCAGGUGCGAAAGCGUGGGGAGCAAACA